UCGACAGUCUUUCGUUGACUACAAGCAUGUUGUAGAUGUGGAUUAUUAUCCUCCAGUUUCCUCUGACAGAGCAGCCAAGCUAAAGAAGGCCGCCCAAAGUAAAUCCAACCAACAGAACACCUUGGAAUAUCAUGAAAUUGUUGAAGAUGAAAUGAUAUGAGGCUUACAACAGUUGAGAUGGAAAAAAGUUGAUGUCAGCUUGGCCCUUCUUCGCCCACAACAAGAUUCAUGUACUGUUCCAAAUGAAUAAAUGGAUUUCUCUUUGUAAAUCCAGGUAAAAAAUGAAUGGCUUUACAAUGCUAGGGGUUGCACAAAAAUCUCAUUAGUUGUAUUCUUUGUGCCAUUUAAUGUCUCAACUUGGUUGAUUACAGCGGCUAUGGCUGGUUGCUUCUUAUGAAUUACAUAUUGGCUAAAAGCCUAAAGCAUUUUUAGUCAAAAAAUAAGUGUAUGGUGUACUUCAGCAAGCCAGCUUGGACAUUUUUCGAUCACUUCUGCAAUGACCAUAAAAUGAUGCACCUACAAGAUCUACAAAGGUUGGAAGGAUUUCUUUCUCCCUUUCAUUUAGACAUGUCUUCUUCCUGAACAAUGAUCAUUGCAUUUAUGUUUCAAGAGUACAUCAACACCAUUAAUGAUCUGUAAUAGUUCUGUAUCAAUGUUCACACAUUUGGGGAUUGUAGUUACAAUUGCCACUGGUUUUGGAGUGAAAACUACUAUUGCUCUUUGGGUUCAGAGAAUCCAGAAAGAAAGCGUGGGAUAUCUAGCCCCAUUUAGCGUUUAACUACCAGAAGAAUCCAAAACACAUCGACAAUAAAAAUACCCGCAGCAAAGCGCGGGCUAUUUAUCUAGUAAAUGCAUAUAGUUCAUUGUAUUAUGAACCAUAGGCAUA